GCCUCUUUAUUCAUGAAAUUAUUCUCUUACGUAUUCAAAAUUAAUAUUAAAAUAAAAAUAUAUAGUGUCUAGAUUAUUUAUCUUGAAACAUCUAUCGGGUGCACGGAGGUCCAUAGACAAAUCUCCUGGAUUAUAUCCUCCUAUGGAUCUCCUGAUCUAUCUAAAAUAAAAUAAUAAUUUAAAUAAAGGAAACAAAACUUAAGCUAGGGAAGAGAGAAAGAGGAACAUCCUCUUCCUUAUUUUGAAAACCAGGGGACAUCCUCCCCUCUCUCUCUCUUGUUUCCUUCCCCCAACCACGACCAUCAAAAGCCUUGAGGCCGACGACCCAACGACACUCAAGGCGGCAGGGAGGGGAGUGUCCCAUCGGCGGCCAUGGCUAGUGAAAGCCGGUGAUGAAAAACAAAAGGGAAAAAGGAAAUUGAACAAAGCAGCCCUCUGUUCAACACCAACCGGCGGCUUGCCGGGCCAAGACCACAUGACGGGUGCUGGUGGAUGCUGGGAAAAGAAAAAGAAGAGGAAGGAGAGUAGCUACCCUAGUCCGGUGAUGCAGAAGGGAAGAAAAAUCCGACGAUCCUAUUAGCCAAACCUAAGAAAGAUUCAAGAGAAAAUUCAAAAGAUCGGUGGCGAUUCCUCGAGAAAUCAAGGAUGGAAUGGUAGGGGUCUUCUUAUAAAGGGUUUCUCUAGGUUUGCAAACCAAGUUUUGCUCGGAUUAAAUCUCCCUCCCCUACCGAUUUCAUUGGAUAUGGAAGAGAAGAAAGACUCCGAUCGGGAGUCCCCUUCCUUCCACCAGCUCACAUGCCAAGCACGUGCAUUUCGGUGGUGGGCCUAUUAUGCGGGUGGGGUUGGAUCCAACAUAAGUUUGGGUUACCACAACCAUUGUCCUUUCUACCACUAUUAUCAUCAUCUUUUCUAGCACCGCCAUCAUGAGUAUUACCACCAUUGUCAUCAUCACUAUUGCCACUAACCCCACCAAUUCUAUCAUAUCAGGUUCUAUCAUAUCAUCAUGAUCAUCGUAAUCUUUAGCAUAUCUCACUAUCAUCAUCAUCACCACUACUAUAUUAUAAAUGUCUUAAUAUCACUAUAGCUAUUAUCAC
rnacentral:lncRNA from 1 species